UACGAAGGGGGGCUAGCGUUGCUCGGAAUCACUGGGCGUAAAGGGCGCGUAGGUGGCGGCCCAAGUCCAUGGUGAAAGCUCGAUGCUCAACAUCGAGUCGGCCCACGGAUACUGGGUUGCUCGAGCACUGUAGGGGCAGAUGGAAUUCCGGGUGUAGCGGUGGAAUGCGUAGAGAGUCGGGAGGAAGGCCGGUGGCGAAGGCGGCGCUCUGGAACAUUUCGUGACGCUGAGGCUCGAAAGCGUGGGGAGCAAACAGG
rnacentral:rRNA from 1 species